rnacentral:rRNA from 1 species
GACUCUCGGCAACGGAUAUCUCGGCUCUUGCAUCGAUGAAGAACGUAGCGAAAUGCGAUACGUGGUGUGAAUUGCAGAAUCCCGUGAACCAUCGAGUUUUUGAACGCAAGUUGCGCCCAAGGCCUUUUGGUUGAGGGCACGUCUGCCUGGGUGUCACAC